rnacentral:rRNA from 1 species
UGGGCGUAAGGGUUCGUAGGUGGUGCGGCAAGUUGGAAGUGAAAUCUCUGGGCUUAACCCAGAGGCUGCUUUCAAAACUGCCGCGCUCGAGUGCGAGAGAGGUCAGUGGAAUUGCAGGUGUAGCGGUGAAAUGCGUAGAUAUCUGCAGGAACACCCGUGGCGAAGGCGGCUGACUGGAUCGCAACUGACACUGAGGAACGAAAGCUGGGGGAGCAAACAGGAUUAGAUACCCUGGUAGUCCUAGCCCUAAACCAUCGGAACUUGGGGUGGCCCGCGUAGGCGGGUCGUCCCGUAGCUAACGCGUUAAGUUCCGCGCCUGGGGAGUACGGUCGCAAGACUGAAACUCAAAGGAAUUGACGGGGGCCCGCACAAGCGGUGGAACAUGUGGUUCAAUUCGACGCAACGCGAAGAACCUUACCUGGGCUUGAACCGCUACGGACCAGCGAUAGAAAUAUUGCCUUCCCGCAAGGGACCGUAGUAGAGGUGCUGCAUGGCUGUCGUCAGCUCGUGCCGUGAGGUGUUGGGUUAAGUCCCGCAACGAGCGCAACCCUUACUCGUAGUUGCUACCCGCAAGGGAGAACUCUACGAGGACUGCUCCGGAUAACGGAGAGGAAGGUGGGGAUGACGUCAAGUCAGCACGGCCUUUAUGUCCAGGGCUACACACGUGUUACAAU